rnacentral:rRNA from 1 species
UAGGGAAUCUUCGGCAAUGGGGGCAACCCUGACCGAGCAACGCCGCGUGAGUGAAGAAGGUUUUCGGAUCGUAAAGCUCUGUUGUAAGUCAAGAACGGGUGUGAGAGUGGAAAGUUCACACUGUGACGGUAGCUUACCAGAAAGGGACGGCUAACUACGUGCCAGCAGCCGCGGUAAUACGUAGGUUCCGAGCGUUGUCCGGAUUUAUUGGGCGUAAAGCGAGCGCAGGCGGUUUGAUAAGUCUGAAGUUAAAGGCUGUGGCUCAACCAUAGUUCGCUUUGGAAACUGUCAAACUUGAGUGCAGAAGGGGAGAGUGGAAUUCCAUGUGUAGCUGUGAAAUGCGUAGAUAUAUGGAGGAACACCGGUGGCGAAAGCGGCUCUCUGGUCUGUAACUGACGCUGAGGCUCGAAAGCGUGGGGAGCGAACAGG